rnacentral:rRNA from 1 species
GAUGAACGCUGGCGGCGUGCCUAAUACAUGCAAGUCGAGCGAGCGGCGGACGGGUGAGUAAUGUCUGGGAAACUGCCUGCUGGAGGGGGAUAACUACUGGAAACGGUAGCUAAUACCGCAUACCAUCAGAUGUGCCCAGAUGGGAUUAGCUAGUAGGUGGGGUAAUGGCUCACCUAGGCGACGAUCCCUAUCUGGUCUGAGAGGAUGACCAUCUACACUGGAACUGUGACACGGUCCAGACUCCUACGUGAGUCAGCAGUGGGGAAUAUUGCACAAUGGGCGCAAGCCUGAUGCAGCCAUGCCGCGUGUGUGAAGAAGGCCUUCGGGUUGUAAAGCACUUUCAGCGAGGAGGCGUUACUCGAAGAAGAAGCACCGGCUAACUCCGUGCCAGCAGCCGCGGUAAUAC